UACGAAGGGGACUAGCGUUGUUCGGAAUUACUGGGCGUAAAGGGCUCGUAGGCGGCCAACUAAGUCAGACGUGAAAUCCCUCGGCUUAACCGGGGAACUGCAUCUGAUACUGGAUGGCUUGAGAUUGGGAGAGGGAUGCGGAAUUCCAGGUGUAGCGGUGAAAUGCGUAGAUAUCUGGAGGAAUACCGGUGGCGAAGGCGGCAUCCUGGACCAUUACUGACGCUGAGGCGCGAAAGCUAGGGGAGCAAACGGGG
rnacentral:rRNA from 1 species